UACAGAGGUCCCAAGCGUUGUUCGGAUUCAUUGGGCGUAAAGGGUGCGUAGGCGGCGCGGUAAGUCGGGUGUGAAAUCUCGGGGCUUAACUCCGAAACUGCAUUCGAUACUGCCGUGCUUGAGGACUGGAGAGGAGACUGGAAUUUACGGUGUAGCAGUGAAAUGCGUAGAUAUCGUAAGGAAGACCAGUGGCGAAGGCGAGUCUCUGGACAGUUACUGACACUGAGGCACGAAGGCCAGGGGAGCAAACGGG
rnacentral:rRNA from 1 species